GGUAAAAAAAAGGUAAGCUACUAAGAGCGAAUGGUGGAUGCCUUGACUGGUAAAGGCGAUGAAGGACGUACUAGACUGCGAUAAGCUACGGGGAGCUGUCAAGAAGCUUUGAUCCGUAGAUUUCCGAAUGGGGCAACCCAAUGUAUAGAGAUAUACAUUACCUAUAUAGGAGCGAACGAGGGGAAUUGAAACAUCUUAGUACCCUCAGGAAAAGAAAUCAAUAGAGAUUGCGUCAGUAGCGGCGAGCGAAAGCGCAAGAGGGCAAACCCAGUGCUUGCACUGGGGGUUGUAGGACUGCAAUGUGCAAGAGCUGAGUUUAGCAGAACAUUCUGGAAAGUAUAGCCAUAGAGGGUGAUAGUCCCGUAUGCGAAAAACAAAGCUUAGCUAGCAGUAUCCUGAGUAGGGCGGGACACGAGGAAUCCUGUCUGAAUCCGGGUCGACCACGAUCCAACCCUAAAUACUAAUACCAGAUCGAUAGUGCACAAGUACCGUGAGGGAAAGGUGAAAAGAACUGAGGUGAUCAGAGUGAAAUAGAACCUGAAACCAUUUGCUUACAAUCAUUCAGAGCACUAUGUAGCAAUACAGUGUGAUGGACUGCCUUUUGCAUAAUGAGCCUGCGAGUUGUGGUGUCUGGCAAGGUUAAGCAAACGCGAAGCCGUAGCGAAAGCGAGUCUGAAUAGGGCGCUUAGUCAGAUGCUGCAGACCCGAAACGAAGUGAUCUAUCCAUGAGCAAGUUGAAGCUAGUGUAAGAACUAGUGGAGGACUGAACCCAUAGGCGUUGAAAAGCCCCGGGAUGACUUGUGGAUAGGGGUGAAAGGCCAAUCAAACUUCGUGAUAGCUGGUUCUCUCCGAAAUAUAUUUAGGUAUAGCGUUGUGUCGUAAUAUAAGGGGGUAGAGCACUGAAUGGGCUAGGGCAUACACCAAUGUACCAAACCCUAUCAAACUCCGAAUACCUUAUAUGUAAUCACAGCAGUCAGGCGGCGAGUGAUAAAAUCCGUCGUCAAGAGGGAAACAACCCAGACUACCAGCUAAGGUCCCUAAAUCUUACUUAAGUGGAAAACGAUGUGAAGUUACUUAAACAACCAGGAGGUUGGCUUAGAAGCAGCCAUCCUUUAAAGAAAGCGUAAUAGCUCACUGGUCUAGUGAUUUUGCGCGGAAAAUAUAACGGGGCUAAAGUAAGUACCGAAGCUGUAGACUUGCACACAACUUAGAUUAUUUAAGUUUAGAAUAUGAGAAACUAAGUUAUGUUUAGUUAUAUUUUUACUGAUUUUUAUAGAGUAAAGAUAGAAAUAAAACUUAGUAAAAUCAGUAAAAAUAUUCUUAGGCUAAAGUUAAGUAGUUUAAGUUGUGUGCAAGUGGUAGGAGAGCGUUCUAUUUGCGUCGAAGGUAUACCGGUAAGGAGUGCUGGAGCGAAUAGAAGUGAGCAUGCAGGCAUGAGUAGCGAUAAUUAAUGUGAGAAUCAUUAACGCCGUAAACCCAAGGUUUCCUACGCGAUGCUCGUCAUCGUAGGGUUAGUCGGGUCCUAAGUCGAGUCCGAAAGGGGUAGACGAUGGCAAAUUGGUUAAUAUUCCAAUACCAACAUUAGUGUGCGAUGGAAGGACGCUUAGGGCUAAGGGGGCUAGCGGAUGGAAGUGCUAGUCUAAGGUCGUAGGAGGUUAUACAGGCAAAUCCGUAUAACAAUACUCCGAGAACUGAAAGGCUUUUUGAAGUCUUCGGAUGGAUAGAAGAACCCCUGAUGCCGUCGAGCCAAGAAAAGUUUCUAAGUUUAGCUAAUGUUGCCCGUACCGUAAACCGACACAGGUGGGUGGGAUGAGUAUUCUAAGGCGCGUGGAAGAACUCUCUUUAAGGAACUCUGCAAAAUAGCACCGUAUCUUCGGUAUAAGGUGUGGUUAGCUUCGUACUAGGAUUUACUCCGAAAGCGAAGAAACUUACAACAAAGAGUCCCUCCCGACUGUUUACCAAAAACACAGCACUCUGCUAACUCGUAAGAGGAUGUAUAGGGUGUGACGCCUGCCCGGUGCUCGAAGGUUAAUUGAUGGGGUUAGCAUUAGCGAAGCUCUUGAUCGAAGCCCGAGUAAACGGCGGCCGUAACUAUAACGGUCCUAAGGUAGCGAAAUUCCUUGUCGGUUAAAUACCGACCUGCAUGAAUGGCGUAACGAGAUGGGAGCUGUCUCAAAGAGGGAUCCAGUGAAAUUGUAGUGGAGGUGAAAAUUCCUCCUACCCGCGGCAAGACGGAAAGACCCCGUGGACCUUUACUACAGCUUGACACUGCUACUUGGAUAAGAAUGUGCAGGAUAGGUGGGAGGCUUUGAGUAUAUGACGCCAGUUGUAUAUGAGCCAUUGUUGAGAUACCACUCUUUCUUAUUUGGGUAGCUAACCAGCUUGAGUUAUCCUCAAGUGGGACAAUGUCUGGUGGGUAGUUUGACUGGGGCGGUCGCCUCCCAAAUAAUAACGGAGGCUUACAAAGGUUGGCUCAGAACGGUUGGAAAUCGUUCGUAGAGUAUAAAGGUAUAAGCCAGCUUAACUGCAAGACAUACAAGUCAAGCAGAGACGAAAGUCGGUCUUAGUGAUCCGGUGGUUCUGUGUGGAAGGGCCAUCGCUCAAAGGAUAAAAGGUACCCCGGGGAUAACAGGCUGAUCUCCCCCAAGAGCUCACAUCGACGGGGAGGUUUGGCACCUCGAUGUCGGCUCAUCGCAUCCUGGGGCUGGAGCAGGUCCCAAGGGUAUGGCUGUUCGCCAUUUAAAGCGGUACGCGAGCUGGGUUCAGAACGUCGUGAGACAGUUCGGUCCCUAUCUGCCGUGGGCGUAAGAAGAUUGAAGAGAUUUGACCCUAGUACGAGAGGACCGGGUUGAACAAACCACUGGUGUAGCUGUUGUUCUGCCAAGAGCAUCGCAGCGUAGCUAAGUUUGGAAAGGAUAAACGCUGAAAGCAUCUAAGCGUGAAGCCAACUCUAAGAUGAAUCUUCUCUAAGCUCUCUAGAAGACUACUAGUUUGAUAGGCUGGGUGUGUAAUGGAUGAAAGUCCUUUAGCUGACCAGUACUAAU
rnacentral:rRNA from 1 species